GAUGAACGCUGGCGGCAGGCCUAACACAUGCAAGUCGAGCGGAAACACAGGGAGAGCUUGCUUCUACGGGUGGCGACUGGCGGACGGGUGAGGAAUGCAUCACCAACCUCUUUUUCGUGGAGGAAUACGGAGACCAACAUCCGCUAAAACCCCAUACGGCCUACCGGUGGGAUCAAUAGAACAACACAACUUUCCCGUGUCUAGGAGACGGUGUCGGUUUGGAUAGGUUGGUGGGUAAGGGCCCACCAAGCCAAGGAACCGUAGCUUGGGUGAGCGGGUGAUCAGCCACACUGGAACGGAAACACGGUCCAGACUCCAACGGGAGGCAGGAGAGGGGAAUAUUGGACAAGGGGCGGAAGCCUGACCCAGCCAUGCCGCGUGGGUGAAGAAGGCCUUCGGAUUGUAAAGCUCUUUUGUUUGGAAAGAAAAGAAGAGUGAGAAACGCCUCCUGUUUUGACGGUACCCAAUGAAUAAGCACCGGCUAACUUCGUG
rnacentral:rRNA from 1 species